GAGGGCCAUGAGGUUAAGAUCUCAUAGCUAGUCAAUGGCCGAACUAGGUCCCUUUCAGUUGCCAAUUUUUCACAUUCUAUGUGCUAACAAUCUCAGUGAAUGAAAUUUUACUGUGAGGAAGUUUAGAAAAAGCAUCAGCAAUUGAAAUCUACAGAUAAUCUUAAAGCUCCAGGGUUUCCACUUUUGGUAAAACUCUGUUGUUUAAAGUUACUCCUGAUGAAGCAAAACUAAUGGUGUGUGUCCAUAGGCUGGUGGAGAUGCUACUGAGCAGAGAAUUAUCCACAAUUCAAGAAGCUAAUGAGAAUGGGGGAAGGAGAAACAAAUGGCACCGAGUCCAAAGCCAAGUUCAACGUCACUCCAUCUGUUUGAGAGAAAGACAAGUCAGAAUUUUCCUGGAUUCAGCCCCAUGACCUCUCCAGAAAUUCCAACAUAACUGAACACGCUAUGAAUAUCUAUAUGCAUUUGACACUGAAACAGGUAGUAGUUUUCAUUGGUUGCUUCUACAGCCUUGUUGCCUCCUGUCUUCUCUAUUUCUAACAGGACCCUGUGAUUUAGGGAGUCCCAGGAGUUUCAGAACGACAUUUUAUAACCACAUGAGGCUGGUCUGUUGAAAUCAGUGUUACUUUGAGGAAGCAUUGCUAAGAAA